CAAUUCUCAGCCUGAGAGACUGGGAGCUGUGGAAGCAGAGAGCUGUCAAGUGCCUGCAAACACCGUGUUGCUGCCUGUGCGCUCAGAGGUGGGCUGCAGAGUGUGGCAUAAACAACACAGCUACCUGCCUGUUCGGACGUGAAUCCACGGGAAUGGAGGUGGAUUCUUUACCAUCUGAGCCACCAGGGAAGCCCCAAGAAAUGCUAGCAGCCUCUAAAGAAGAGGGCAAGGAAAAGGACUCUCUUCUCGAGCCCCCAGGAAGGAAUCCAGUCCUGUUCACACCUCAAUUUUCA
ensembl:lncRNA